rnacentral:sRNA from 1 species
CCUUGAGUUUCUAGAUAAAAAAUGUGUGCGUGUUUUGUGCGCAUAUACGGCUGUGCACCACAUGUUUGCAGUCCCUUGGAGGCCAAAAGAUAUCAGAACCCUUGAAACUGGAGUUAUAGAUGGCUGUGAGCUACCAUGAGGGUGCUGGGAACCAUUGAACUAUUUCUCCAGACCCAUUUCAUUAUUAUUAUUUUUUUUAAAAGAAGGAGUCAAAAAAGUUGUGGGAGGAAGGAGUUGGUGGCAAAGCAGAGCCAGGCCUGAGGCAGGUGGAGGAGCUUCAGCAAGAGGCCUAGGAAGGUGAGCCAGGUAGAUGGCAUCCUAAACACUGCCAAUCAUCCUCAAGGGUCAGAGGUGACAGCCACCGAUGGGCACUACCCCUGCUCAGGGUCACGCCGAAUGACCUAGGGCUGGUCUGACCAAGCAGGCCCAGCUGUGGGAGGAACUGUCAGAAGGGAUACCUGACAGGAGACACAGUUCAGUUCCCCGCCUCCAGCACCACCCUCAGGGGACUGUUGGGUGCAGUUCAAGAUUGGGAGAAGAGGAACUAAGAAACUAGAUCAUGAAAAAGAAAGGAGCCCUUGGCAGACGGCCUGGCAUUCCUGAGGCUGUGUUCUGCACCUUCCUGUGAGGGCAGUCAGGCAGGCCCUGAUCCAGCUUUCUGCAGCUGAGUCAGCUUCGAACUGAGGCCUCAGACUCAGAGGGUGACAGCCUCCAGAAUUAAAGGGGGAUUUGAAGAUGAUUUUGGACUCCUUGUACUGGCACUGGAAAGAACCUGGGAGGAGUUUGUCAAAUCUCAGCAAGGGUCGCCAUGUUGAAUAACAUUGGAGGCCAGAAACAGGAAGUGCUGUUUUCCUGCGUAAAUGAUCUACAGCUCUUGCUGAUUCCAGGAUCCAAGAUGUUUCUGCCAGCAUCCUGAUGCUGCUUCCAGACUGACAAGGUCAGAACCCUGCUAAAGGACCAGGACUUGCUUUUCUGCUCAUCCCUGUUGGCCCUGGGAACAAGCAGAGGCCCAGGACAGAUGAAUCUCUGGUGUUGCAUACACUAGCCUUUCUCAAGAGGCUCUUUUCCAAGACAUCAUGUGAAACCCUGCUGUUUCUGGAUCAGAUAAAUCAACGAUAAUCUUUAACUCAGCGAGGGGCGAGUCAUGGGGGGUGUUCUCCUGCAUCCACGGUAUACUGCUAAAAUCAGAUUUCCUGGAGCCCAUUCACCAGAGGUUUUGAACUUGCCAGAUUGCUUGCUGGGCCUAAAAUACUGCGUGCCAUGUGGUGACCCUGGCUUGGCUGUUUCCAUGAGUUCUCUUUCCCUAAGUCACAACUGACACUUCCAAGUCACACAGAGGAAAAGAGCUCCAGACCCCACAUUUCCAUUAAUGGCCAUCGGCCAGGUCUGGCGUGUGCACUGUGCACUACUCUCUUCUGUGGUUGAGUCUGCCUUGGGGGGGGAGCAGAGAGAACUGAAGAAGACUGGGGGUGGGGAUGCACGUGCCUUCUGCAGUCCGAUUCCUAUUUCCCCUCCCCAUUUCUUCCUCCGCAGCAACUUUUGGCAUAAGGAUUUUUUUCUCCAAACUUACGGUAACUCGUUCAUCUGGUUAUGCUUUCCUUUAUUCAUCUGCUUAUGUAAGCUACACCAAUGGAGCCUUUGUUGUGAGGUAAAUGUGCGGGAGCCGUGAGAUUUAAACUCGGCAUAUAAAAUAAUGGAUUUCAUCACGAUGUCUCCACACUUGGCUAUAGUUGGACGUUGCUCACAUUCACCCUGUCGUUCGUUAACCUCUUGUUCUUUCUGCUGCUCCCUGUCUUCCCUCCAAACAGUCUCCCUUCUCCUUUUGUGUUUUGUAUGUAUUGGAUUUGGAUUCUAAAGAGCUGGAUUCAGGAGGUGGGGAGAAAAACUAGUUGCCAUGAAUUGAAAUUCUGCCAAAGUCUGCAAAUGCUAAGUUAAUAUUUUAUGUGGCGGAUCUGUGGAUGGCUUGUCUUUUAACCUGUGUUUCUAAGUUUUCUUUCAGUCAGACAUAUUAAUAUUUGUAUAAGACAAGUUAUUCAAAAGGUGACUGCAUGAUGAACAUGUGCUACACGCAUGAGGAGGUGCAAGGUGAUCCACAGUGUGAUCCGUCGCUGCAGUCAAGGUGAGCGACCUCAUCAGGAUGGGCUGUGCAUCCUCAAACUAAUUUGCAACCCAAACGCAUGGUAUGGAUUUAACUCCAAAGACCAGAGGACACAGAGAAAAGAUUCAAGGGAGUUCACCUUAGGAGCUGCCUCACCAGAAGGCAGAUGAAGACCCACAUUUUAAAUUAGUUUCAUUCUAAUGUCGAGGGACACAACUCACAGAACCGGAAGUGACGUCGUUUUGUUCUUGAAGAUCACCUUCAUAUCAGCUUAUCUUUGCAACAACAACAAAGAAAUGUCUGUAAGGACCAGAUCAUUAUUACAAGAGGAGCUGAGCUGAGCUGCUGUGAGCAGAUAACAUUUGGGAGAGGUCUUAGAAAUCAUCAAAUUCCCCAUUUUUCAGUGCUGCCACUGAGUAGUAGAGGUUAGCUCAGCGGGAAAGUGUUUGUCUAGCAUGCACCAAGCCCUGGGCGCCAUCUCCAUCACAGCAAACAGACAAACAAAACAUGUCUGAUCGACACUAAGGAUGGUUGGCUAUCACUCGCCGAUGGGAAAAUUUGCUACUGAGUAAGGACUGUGUUCUGAUUAGUUAAGGGCUAUCGUUACAAAGUUCCACAAACUGUAUGUCUUGGACAACAGAUGUUUGUUGUUUCCUGGUUCUGGAGUCCAAAUCAAGGCAUUGGCAGGGUGGUUUCCUGAGGCUUGAGGGAAGCUCUGUUCCGUGCCCCUCUUGGCUAGUAGUUUUCUAGUCUCUCUGGAGCUUCUUAUCCUGUAGAAGCAUUGUUUUAAUUUUUAAUCUCUCCUUUCCGCACAUGUGCACCUUCUUGUUGUUGUAUUUUGUUUUUUUGAGACAGGGUUCCUCUGUAGCCCUGGCUGUCCUGGAACUUGCUCUGUAGACCAGGCUGGUCUCAACUCUUCCUCUCAAGUGCUAGGACUAGAGACAUGUUCUACCACCUCCCAAUGUUGUGCAUCUUUUUCUAUGCCCAUGUUAUUAAGGACACCACCCACACUGGAUUAGUCUACUCCAAUGACCUCAUCUUGACUCAUGUCUGCAAUGACUCUACUUCUGUAUAAGGUUAUAUCUUGAGAUACUGAGACUAGGAUCUCAGUGUAUGGAUUUGGUAUAUACUCUAUAACAGAAAUCAUCUAUAAUGUGUUGGAUCCUUAUAGGAGGAAUGUAAGCUGGAUAUGAUUUGCAUUCUACUGAUACACCAGGCCCAGUGAGCUAGGCAGCAGAGACACAUCCCACCAGAAGCCUGUGCAUUUGUUAGGGUUCUCUAGAGCCACAGAACUUAUGGAGUGAAUCUAUUUGAAUGACUUACAAGCUGUGGUUCAGCUAAUUUAACAGUGGCUAGCUGUGAGUGUAAAGUUUAAGAGUCUAGAGGUUGCUCAAACCCACAAUGCUGGUCUUCUGUAUAUGCUGGAGUCCCAAAGAAAUUGGCCCCAAUGCCAGUGAAGGAAUAGAUGUGCUAGUAAGACAAGUGCACACAGAUUAAAAGCAAAAGCUUCCUUCUUCUAUGUUCUUAUGUAUACUUGCAGCAGAAGGUAUGACCCAUAUUAAAGGUAUGGCUUCCCACCUCAAGAUCCAAAUUAAAGGCUGGUGUCUUCAUGCCUCAAGGGUCCAGAUCAAAGGUGUGGCUUCGUGCCUCAAGGGUCCAGAAUUAGAUUCACUCACUUCAAACAAAGAAGAUUUUUUUUAACAGGUUUGCCCCCCACCUUCCAUUUCUGAAUUGUAGCUCAAUUCAGAUAUAGUCAUGUUGACAACCAAGACUAGCCAGCACUCCAUGUGUGCAUGGACUCCAGAACCUCGCUGGGCAUUUGGAGCUCAGCCCUGGGUGGGGCAACCUUUGGAUGGCUUGUCCUUCAGUCUAUACUCCAUUCUUUCUCCCUGUAUUUCCUUUAGACAAGAGCCACCAA